GAUGAAGAACGUAGCGAAAUGCGAUAAGUAAUGUGAAUUGCAGAAUUCCGUGAAUCAUCGAAUCUUUGAACGCACAUUGCGCCCCCUGGCAUUCCGGGGGGCAUGCCUGUCCGAGCGUCAUUUCUGCCCUCCAGCCCGGCUGGGUGUUGGGCGCUGUCCCCCCGGGGACACGCCCCAAAGGCAGUGGUGGCGCCGCGUCGGGUCCUCGAGCGUAUGGGGCUUUGUCACCCGCUCGGGACGGACUCGUCGGCGCUGGUCUUCCUCCAGGCGACCCUUCGGGGCUCGUCUUCCUUCGGUUGACCUCGGAUCAGGUAGGGUUACCCGCUGAACUUAAGCAUAUCAAUAAGCGGAGGA
rnacentral:misc_RNA from 1 species